GCGAGGCCGGAGCCGCCGGGGACACGCGUGGCCGAGGGGGGUGGAGGACGCACACGAGGACACGUGAGUGACCCGCCUGGGGCGUGCGAGGCCUUGCACACGCGUGAUCUCGCACACGCGUGUCCUUGAACACGCGUGUUGGGGUGACGUGGGGCCGUGGGGGGAUGUGAGGGAUGUGGGGAGGGGGGGAGCGGCAGGUCCGGGUGUCACCAAAGGCCACCAGGAAGGGAUGUGGGCAUCGUGGUGUCCCCAGGAGCCCUUGGAGGACCCAGAUCCCGGUGUCCCUAAAACCUCUUGGAGGACCCGGGACCCCUUGGAGGACCCCGGUCUUGGUGUCCCUAAAAUCUCUUGGAGGACCCAGAUCUCGGUGUCUUCACAACCCCUUGGAGGACCCAGGACCCCUUGGAGGACCCCAGUCUUGGUGUCCCCAGGACUCCUUGGAGGACCAGGUCCCAGUGUCCUUAAAACCCCUUGGAGGACCCAGGUUUCAGUGUCUCCAGGACCCCUUGGAGGACCCAGAUUCCAGUGUCCCUAAAACCUCCUGGAGGACCCAGAUCCCAGUGUCCCUAAAACCUCUUGGAGGACCCAGAUCCUGGUGUCCCUAAGACCCCUUGGAGGACCCAGGACCCCUUGGAGGACCCCGGUCCCAGCUCCAUGGGAAGGAGGGACCCCACACCCCCAUGUCCCCAAGGGCCAUCAGGAGGGGACCCGAUCACCCCGUGUCCCCAAUCCCCCCCGAUUCCAGGUGUCCCCAGGACCCAAUGAAGGACCCCAAUCUGGGCCCAUUGGGAGGGGACACGGGGGGGGGGGGUUCAGCUGUAGGCCCCACCAGGAAGUUUGGGGGGGGGGGGGAAGGNNNNNNNNNNNNNNNNNNNNNNNNNNNNNNNNNNNNNNNNNAUUCAGCUGUAGGCCCCAUCAGGAAGUUUGGGGGGGGUGGAGAAGGGGGGGGACACACACGUGGGUGUCCCCAAACCUUAUGGGAAGGAGGGACCCACUAUAGAAGUGUCCCCUGGGGCCACCAGAAGGGGAAAAUGGGCAUCCUGGUGCCCCCCCCGGACCCACCGGGAAUAGGGGACGUGGGUACCCCAAAGCCCCCACGGUGAUGGGGG
rnacentral:lncRNA from 1 species